AUUGAAAUCUGAAAAAGAUUUUUUGAACGUUGCUGAAUAAUCGAUUAUUAAUUUGGUAUAAUUGAUUGUUUUACGAAAAAUCUGGAAAUGAUUUUUUGAACGUUGCCAAUAACCGAUUGUUGAUCUUGGACAAUCGAUUGUUAAGCUUAAAAUCUGGGAUUGAUUUUUGGAACUAUUGGCAAACAAUCGAUUGUGGCUUCCUGACAAUCG
rnacentral:lncRNA from 1 species